GCUUCUUUCUCUCUGUAAGUCUUGUCUCCUGAGCCUUGCCAAAAAAGAACACAAUGCUUCAAGGAAGGACUGUGAGAUGCUGCCUUUUGCUGAUGCUCUUGACCAUCCUGCCUACAUGGCCUGCAUCGGAAGUUCCCAAUGUGGCUCUUGAUGGUAAGGCAUCACAGUCCAGUAUCUACAAUGCUCUUGGAAACCCUGAGAAUGCCAUUGAUGGGUCACCAUCUACUAACUAUAUGCUUGGCCACUGCGCACACACAAAACUAGAAUGGAAUCCAUGGUGGACAGUGGAUUUGGGAGCAGAGUUUCUUGUGUCCAGUGUUAGCAUCACCAAUCGAGGAGACUGCUGUGCAGUGCGAAUAAUUGGGGCUCAAAUCCGAAUUGGAAACGCACCAGGAGAAGGGGGAAUCACAAGUCCAAGGUGUGCUACAAUCAGAUUACUGGGCCUAGGGAGAACCGCCAAUUUUGACUGUAAAAAAAUGCGAGGACGGUAUGUAACUAUCACCAUCCCAGGCAUUCGUAUCCUCUCACUGUGUGAAGUUCAAGUGUUUGGUGAAAAGCUACCUUCCUC